UCGAUAACAUACAAGUUCUUGCGUACGUCCACAACAACUAAAACCAUGUGCUACAAAGUAACGUGCAAGCAAUGCAAUAAAUAUUCCUGGGGUGGGUGUGGCAACCACCUCACCGCCGUGUAUGCGGGCAUAGAGAAGGGAAAGCACUGCACGUGCAAGCCAUGGCCGGGGGUUGUCAUCCUUACGGAGGAGACAGCUGCCGAGCAACAACCAUAUAGAGCUUUAUCAGCUAAUUCAGCUACCAAGGCGGCUGCAGAUGCAAGGCAUCAUCGCAGAUGGUGGCGUGUCUAGAUUCAAGGUAUCAAGUAGAUAAUGUUAAGAGCUAUACAUAUGUCACUCGGAACUCCUAAAGAUGAAUGCCUGGGGGCUGGGGAGAGAGUACUACGUUACAAUAAAGAGUCAUGUUGUGUUUGUGCAUGAAUAAUGGAUACCGUUGCUUGCUUGUACCAUUUUCGUCCAAGCUCUGCUAUAUAUCUUCUGAUUAUGGUCAUUGUUGCAUCGGCCAACCUGGGUUUUCUCUUAUUUUCUUAUCUGAAUGUAUGGAAUAAUUAAUAAAGAAUCAAACUUAACUACUC